rnacentral:rRNA from 1 species
GACGAACGCUGGCGGCGUGCUUAACACAUGCAAGUCGAACGGUAAGGCCCUGCUUUUGUGGGGUGCUCGAGUGGCGAACGGGUGAGUAACACGUGAGUAACCUGCCCUUGACUUUGGGAUAACUUCAGGGAACUGGGGCUAAUACCGGAUAGGAGCUCCUGCUGCAUGGUGGGGGUUGGAAAGUUUCGGCGGUUGGGGAUGGACUCGCGGCUUAUCAGCUUGUUGGUGGGGUAGUGGCUUACCAAGGCUUUGACGGGUAGCCGGCUUGAGAGGGUGACCGGCCACAUUAGGACUGAGAUACGGCCCAGACUCCUACGGGAGGCAGCAGUGGGGAAUAUUGCACAAUGGGCGGAAGCCUGAUGCAGCAACGCCGCGUGCGGGAUGACGGCCUUCGGGUUGUAAACCGCUUUCGCCUGUGACGAAGCGUGAGUGACGGUAAUGGGUAAAGAAGCACCGGCUAACUACGUG